rnacentral:rRNA from 1 species
UACGGGGGGAGCAAGCGUUGUUCGGAUUUACUGGGCGUAAAGGGCGCGUAGGCGGUCAGCACAAGUCAGUUGUGAAAUCUCCGAGCUUAACUCGGAAAGGUCAACUGAUACUGUGCGGCUAGAGUGCAGAAGGGGCAACUGGAAUUCUUGGUGUAGCGGUGAAAUGCGUAGAUAUCAGGAGGAACACCGGUGGCGAAGGCGGGUCUCUGGGCCGAUACUGACGCUAAGGAGCGAAAGCGUGGGGAGCGAACAGG